rnacentral:ncRNA from 2 species
UUAGUGCGCGGUAAGCUAGGGUG